CCUACGGGUGGCUGCAGUGGGGAAUAUUGCACAAUGGGGGCAACUCUGAUCCAGCAAAGCCGCGUGCGUGAUGAAGGAUUUCCGUGUUUAAAGCUGUAUUAGGUGGGAAUUAAAAAGAGGGUACUUAACAUCGAAUCCCCGGCUAACUACGUGCCAGCAGCCGCUGUAAUACGGAGGGCGCACGCGUUAGCCGGAUUUACUGGGUGUAAAGGGAGCGUAGACGGAAAGGCAAGUCAGAAGUGAAAACCCACGGCUCAACCGUGGAAUUGCUUUUGAAACUGGAGAACUAGAGUGCGGAAGGGGAAAGAGGAAUUCCGGGUGUAGCGGUGAAAUGCGUAGAUAUUAUGAGGAACACCAGUGGCGAAGGAGUGUGACCGGACCGAAACUGACGUUGAGGCUCGAAAGCGUGGGGAGCAAACAGGAUUAGAUACCCUAGUAGUC
rnacentral:rRNA from 1 species